CCUACGGGGGGCAGCAGUGGGGAAUAUUGCACAAUGGGGGAAACCCUGAUGCAGCGACGCCGCGUGAGUGAAGAAGUAAUUCGUUAUGUAAAACUCUAUCAGCAGGGAAGAAAAUGACGGUACCUGAGUAAGAAGCCCCGGAUAACUACGUGCCAGCAGCCGCGGUAAUACGUAGGGGGCAAGCGUUAUCCGGAUUUACUGGGUGUAAGGGGAGCGUAGACGGGAGUGCAAGUCUGGAGUGAAAGGCGGGGGCUCAACCACCGGAGUGCGCUGGAAACUGGACGGCUUGAGUGCAGGAGAGGUAAGUGGAAUUCCUAGUGUAGCGGUGAAAUGCGUAGAUAUUAGGAGGAACACCAGUGGCGAAGGCGGCUUACUGGACUGUAACUGACGUUGAGGCUCGAAAGCGUGGGGAGCAAACAGGAUUAGAUACCCCAGUAGUC
rnacentral:rRNA from 1 species